rnacentral:rRNA from 1 species
AGAGUUUGAUCCUGGCUCAGAUUGAACGCUGGCGGCAUGCCUUACACAUGCAAGUCGAACGGCAGCGCGGGGCAACCUGGCGGCGAGUGGCGAACGGGUGAGUAAUAUAUCGGAACGUACCCUGGAGUGGGGGAUAACGUAGCGAAAGUUACGCUAAUACCGCAUACGAUCUAAGGAUGAAAGUGGGGGAUCGCAAGACCUCAUGCUCCUGGAGCGGCCGAUAUCUGAUUAGCUAGUUGGCGGGGUAAAAGCCCACCAAGGCAACGAUCAGUAGCUGGUCUGAGAGGACGACCAGCCACACUGGAACUGAGACACGGUCCAGACUCCUACGGGAGGCAGCAGUGGGGAAUUUUGGACAAUGGGCGCAAGCCUGAUCCAGCAAUGCCGCGUGAGUGAAGAAGGCCUUCGGGUUGUAAAGCUCUUUUGUCAGGGAA